UACAGGGGGGGCAAGCGUUGUUCGGAAUUACUGGGCGUAAAGGGUUUGUAGGUGGCUUGCUAAGUCAGACGUGAAAUCCCUCAGCUUAACUGGGGAACUGCGUCUGAUACUGGCGAGCUUGAGUGCAGGAGAGGAACGCGGAAUUCCAGGUGUAGCGGUGAAAUGCGUAGAUAUACGGAGGAACACCAGAGGCGAAGGCGGAUCGCUGGGCCAACACUGACGCUGAUGUGCGAAAGCUAGGGGAGCAAACAGG
rnacentral:rRNA from 1 species